GAUAAACGCUGGCGGCGUGCCUAAUGCAUGCAAGUCGAACGGGGGUGUAGAUUUCGGUUUACAUUCCAGUGGCAGAUGGGUGAGUAACGCGUAAGAAUCUAUCCUUGAGAGGGGGAUAACCCCGGGAAAUCGGGGCUAAUACCGCGUAAAGUCCGUUAAGUGAUUAAUGGACCAAAGCUAUGCUUAUGCAUGGUGCUUGAGGAGGGGCUUGCGUCCGAUUAGCUAGUUGGUGAGGUAAGGGCCCACCAAGGCGAAGAUCGGUAGCUGGUCUAAGAGGAUGGACAGCCACACUGGGACUGAGACACGGCCCAGACUCCUACGGGAGGCAGCAGCAGGGGAUAUUGCGCAAUGGGCGGAAGCCUGACGCAGCAACGCCGCGUGGGGGAAGAAGGCUUUCGAGUUGUAAACCCCUUUUCUUGGGGAAGAGUAAGGACGGUACCUGAGGAAUAAGCCUCGGCUAACUACGUGCCAGCAGCCGCGGUAAGACGUGGGAGGCGAGCGUUAUCCGGAAUUAUUGGGCGUAAAGGGCGUGUAGGCGGCUUUUUAAGUUCCUGGUGAAAUCUCCUGGCUCAACUGGGAGGGUGCCAGGAAAACUGGAGGGCUUGAGGGCAGCAGAGGGGGGUGGAAUUCCCGGUGUAGUGGUGAUAUGCGUAGAUAUCGGGAGGAACACCAGUGGCGAAGGCGGCCCCCUGGGCUGCACCUGACGCUGAGGCGCGAAAGCGUGGGGAGCAAACAGGAUUAGAUACCCUGGUAGUCCACGCUGCAAACGAUGGACACUAGGUAUGGGGGGUAUCGACCCCCUCCGUGCCGAAGCUAACGCCAUAAGUGUCCCGCCUGGGGAUUACGGCCGCAAGGCUAAAACUCAAAGGAAUUGACGG
rnacentral:rRNA from 1 species